AUGCACAACAUUUGCAGUAUUUGGCAGAAGUGUUGCAGUUAUUGCUCAAACAUUAAUGGCAAGUUAAACUAUCUAAAUGUGCUUUUGCAGACUCAAAUUGGAUAUCUGGGACACAUAAUCAAUGGACAAGGAAUGGCUACUGACCCCUCUAAGAUAUCUGCUAUCAAGGAAUGGCCAGUACCUGUGUCUGCCAAGGAAGUGAGAGGAUUUUUGGGCCUUGCUGGUUAUUAUAGGAAAUUUAUUUCCCAUUAUGGCAUGUUGAGAAAGCCAUUGACAAAUUUUUUGAAGAAGGGGGUACCAUUUCAUUGGACACACAAUGAACAACAAGCAUUUGUGCUACUGAAGCAAGCUUUGGUUUCACUCCUGUUCUGGCACUGCCAAAUUUCUCCAAGAAAUUUAUUGUGGAAACUGAUGCCAGUGAUGUCAGAAUUGGAGCAGUGCUUAUGCCGGAGGGACACCCCAUUGCUUAUGUCAGUAGAGCCCUUGGGCCCAGGAAUCACACUGUCAGUUUAUGAAAAAGAAUACUUAGCAAUUCUUUGA
rnacentral:rRNA from 1 species